UACGUAGGUGGCAAGCGUUGUCCGGAUUUACUGGGCGUAAAGAGCGCGCAGGCGGUCGUUCAAGUCGCGUGUGAAAGCCCCCGGCUCAACUGGGGAGGGUCACGCGAUACUGAUCGACUGGAAGGCAGGAGGGGGUAGUGGAAUUCCCGGUGUAGUGGUGAAAUGCGUAGAUAUCGGGAGGAACACCAGUGGCGAAGGCGACUACCUGGCCUGUUCUUGACGCUGAGGCGCGAAAGCUAGGGGAGCAAACGGG
rnacentral:rRNA from 1 species